AGCGCGGGCCCAGGCGCUGGAGACCCGCAGGGCGGGCCGGGAGGCGCGGGCCGGAGGGGAUUACGGACGCGGGAACACCUGGGCGCGCGGCCGACGCGCUGGGAAGGACGCGCGGGAGGCGGGAGGGCAGCGAGGACAUCCCGGGGUGGAGCGGAAAAGGGCUCUGGGCUGCACCAGCGUUUUUUUUCCCCCCCAGGGGAAGGACCAGGGAACCUAAGACGACUUGGGAUUUCUGAAGCGAGACAUGCCCACGCGAGGCGCGGGGUGAUGGUCAGGCGGCGGCCGUGACAGAGAACGGUGCUGGGGAGAAGCCAGGCCGCUGCCUCGCCCUCUCGCGCCCCCCGUGGCUCGGGGAGCCCCGGCCGCUCAGGUGCGCGCCACGCAGCGCCAGCCCGCCCCAGCUGAACGACUUCUUUUAAAGAGGAGGUAGCAUUGUGGGGCGGUACCUGGAACGUCCCCACAGAUGCGUGGAGCUUGAAGAAUCAUUCAAGGGAAUUUUAAGAGAAAAAAAUGCUACAUUUGGG
rnacentral:lncRNA from 1 species